UCCUUGGUGGCCUAGAGGUUAAAGAUUCAGCAUUGUCACUGCUGUGGUUCAGGGUCAAUCCCUGAGCAGGGAA
rnacentral:tRNA from 1 species